rnacentral:rRNA from 1 species
AACGAACGCUGGCGGCAUGCCUAACACAUGCAAGUCGAACGAGACCUUCGGGUCUAGUGGCGCACGGGUGCGUAACGCGUGGGAACCUGCCCUUAGGUUCGGAAUAACUCCCCGAAAGGGGUGCUAAUACCGGAUAAUGUCUUCGGACCAAAGAUUUAUCGCCUUUGGAUGGGCCCGCGUUGGAUUAGCUAGUUGGUAGGGUAAAAGCCUACCAAGGCGACGAUCCAUAGCUGGUCUGAGAGGAUGAUCAGCCACACUGGGACUGAGACACGGCCCAGACUCCUACGGGAGGCAGCAGUGGGGAAUAUUGGAAAAUGGGCGAAAGCAUGAUCCAGCAAUGCCGCGUGAGUGAUGAAGGCCUUAGGGUUGUAAAGCUCUUUUACCCGGGAUGAUAAUGACAGUACCGGGAGAAUAAGCACCGGCUAACUCCGUG